rnacentral:tRNA from 1 species
GUCAAUGUGGUGUAGUGGUUUGAGUGUUGGACUAGGACUCUGGAGAACAGGGUUCAAAUCCAUGUUCUGACA